rnacentral:lncRNA from 1 species
GGGAGGGGCGAGAACACACACUCGGAAAUGCUGAGACCGACAGAUGGAGGAGCUGAGGAUGUGAGAGACACAGACAGACAGAGAGAGACCCAGAGUCAGGGAGAGGAGGAGCAGGCAGGGGAGGAUGGCCAGAAAACUGGCAGUCACACCAAGCCACGAGCUGAGCAACAAAUCAGCAGAUGGACCAAGCAGUCGAGGGACUAAAAGACACAGACAGACAGACCACCAAGUGGACCUAGCAUCCAAGACACAGACAGACCACCGAACAGAUCCAGUAUCCAAAGCACAGACAGACAGACCACCAAGCAGACCCAGCAUCCAAAACACAGACAGACCACCAAGCGGACCCAGCAUCCAAGACACAGACAGACAGACUACCAAGCAGACCCAGCAUCCAAGACACAGACAGACAGACAGACAGACUACCAAGCAGACCCAGCAUCCAAGACACAGACAGACAGACCACCAAGCAGACCCAGCAUCCAAGACACAGACAGACAGACCACCAAACGGAUCCAGUAUCCAAGGCACAGACAGACCACCAAGUAGACCCAGCAUCCAAGAUACAGACAGACCACCAAGUAGACCCAGCAUCCAAGACACAGACAGACAGACAGACAGAGAGACAACCAAGCAGACCCAGCAUCCGAGACACAGACAGACAGACCACCAAACAGAUCCAGUAUCCAAGACACAGACAGACAGACAGACAGACCACCAAGCCAACCCAGCAUCCAAGACACAGACAAACAGACGACCAAGCAGACCCAGCAUCCAAGGCACAGCAGACAGACAGACCGCUAAACAGAUCCAGUAUCCAAGGCACAGACAGACAGACCACCAAACAGAUCCAGUAUCCAAGGCACAGACAGACCACCAAGUAGACCCAGCAUCCAAGACACAGACAGACAGACCACCAAACAGACCCAGCAUCCAAGACACAGACAACAGACCUCAAAGCGGGCCCAGUAUCAAGACACAGACACACAGACCUCCAAGAGGACCCAGUAUUAAGACACAGACAGACAAACAGACCACCAAGCAGACCCAGCAUCCAAGACACAGACAGACAGACCACCAAGUAGACCCAGCAUCCAAGACACAGACAGACAGACCACCAAGUGGACCCAGUAUCAAGACAGACAGAAAAGCAGACCUCGUAUUCACAGGAUAGACAGGCUGUCUGGCAUCCAGGGGACAGAGACUGAAGCUCCUGGCCUCUAAGGGCAGGCAGACAGGCUGACCCAGGAUCACAGGGUCAGACCAAUAGGACAUAGUAUCUGAGAGACUAUGUGACCCACAGUCCAAGGGACAGGAUUCCAGGAUUUUGGAACUGAGCCAGGGACUGAGCCAGGAUUCCAGGGCGAGACUGACUGACUAACAGACUCCUGACAGAAAUGCAGGAAUGAUAAAUAGGCUGGCCCUGCAUUCAAGGGACAGACACAAUAGACAGGCUGAUCUGAGCCACAGACAGAGACAAUGACUCAGGAUCUGAGGUCAAAGGGAUGGGUCCAGGCUUGGGCCCAGGUUUGACUGUCUGAAUGGACUGAGGUGCAGGCCAGAAACUCUGACCUAGAACCAGAGACUUGGGGUGACUCAGGAACGAAGAACAGGAGAGAGAUGGGGUGAUGCAGACGUUGCCAGAAGCUUCCUGGCUUCUCAAGAACAUGGGAUCCCCUCGUCCUUUUCCCCUCCUGCCCAUUAGAGAGCAGCCCCCAAACUCUGGGGGACUGGGGGACACUGGAAAUUUCCUGUGAGGAGGGUAGGAUGGGCCUGGGGAGAAGGGAAUGAGCUCCUAUUCAUUUCUCGAUCCUGCCACCUGUUCACGGAGGCAGUGGGGUUCAGAAGAGACAGGUUUUUGGGUCCCUGACAGGAGGGAUUUCAUACUCUAGCUUCUACUCUUCUCUCUAGGUGUGGCUUUUUUGCUCCCACUUGUACACUUUUGAGAUGUACACUCAUCUGCUCUUCCAGUUUCUUCCCGGACAAGCUUCUUCUCUGAGCACAAGACUAGGGGUCAGUAAGUUUGAUUCCAAAUAGACUGAGGGCCUCUGUUUCCUCAUCUAUAAAAUGGGGACAGCAGAAGUUGCCUGUUAGGUUAACAGCAUGGACUACAGUGUCUGGCUCACUUCAGGCUUCACGCAGUUCAAGCCUGAGAGCUGUUAGAGAAAGUGAGGCCUAACUGGGCUAGAGGGGCAUCAGAGAGGGCUUCCUGUAGGAAGAAGGUCAAGAAUGAGUCAGCGAGGGCAGGAGGAGCCUGUGAGGUGUCCUGGCUCUUUGCAACUUCAAGCAGAGAAACCCCAGAGCCCUGUAAGGUCAGGAGGGAGAUGCACACAGAUACUCACAUGUAUUCAUUCAGCAAAUAGUCAGUGCCUACUCAAUAAUGCAUCAGUGCCUAUUCUACAGGCACUGAUGCUGGGGACACAGGGGUGACCAAGACAGACGAGAUCCCUGCCCUCAUGGAUUCACAGUGGGAGAAU